rnacentral:lncRNA from 1 species
GUACACCUGACACAUUUUAAUUGCUCUUAUAGAAACUGGUUUUGCUGUUUGGGGCUAGAUUAUUUUUUUCUUUUUUGUGUGUGUGACCUGAGGAUUGAGCCCAGGGCUUUAGUGCUAUACCACUGAGCUACACCCCAGCCCUAGGGAUAAUGUUGCAAAUGAUACAGAUUAGCCUAGUGCAGUGACACCCAGCUCCUCAGGAGGCUGAAGCAGGAGAAUCAUAAAUUUCAAGGCCAAUAUGAACAAUUUAGCAAGAUCCUGUCUCCAAAUAAACAGGACUAGCAAUGUAGCUCAGUGGUAGAGAACCCAUGGGUUCACUCCCCAGUAGCCUCCUCCCCCAAAAUAGGCUAAAGCUGAACACACUGGCUCUUGUCUGUAAUCCCAGCUACUUGGGAGGCUAAGGCAGGAGGAGGAUCUUGAGUUUGAGACUAACUUGGGCAAUGUAGUGAGUGAGGACCACCCCCCCAUCUCAAAAAAGAAAAAAUUAUAGAGGGUUCCUAGUAGAUGUGGUUAGUUAUCAUUUGAACUCAUUUUAAAUUACACUGAAAAUCACAAUACCUAAGCAUUUGUUUACACCUAAAUAAUUGGUUUUAACCUUAUUCAGGAGAUCGAUUCAUUCAGCUUUGGUGGGGUGGGAGUGGAAAAAGUGAGAACAUGAGAAAAUUUUUCUAGUUCUGGCCCACAGAUAGUUUUUCUUUCUUAAAUUAUUUUUAUUAGUGGGUGAAAAAGUCAGCUAUUCAUUUUGUUAAUCCUUUUCCAGGAUGAAGUUGUUUCGGCACACACAGCAUUCUAGGGGCUCAGUAAGUUCUAAGAACAUUGAGAAGGCCUGAAUCUCAAUUUUUUGACAGAAUUGACUGCACCUACAUACCACCCUGUUAAUCAAAAGUAUAUGUUUUCAUUUUAACCUACCUGCAGCUUAAGAAUUAGUGCUACCAGUAUUACUCAUCUGUCACUUGUCAGCCUCACUGAAAAUGGGAUUUUUAGAAUAACUACUAUGAAUAGCAUGUUAACUUUUCUUACUGUAUUCUCUAAAACCUGUUCCAAAAUUUCUACAGCAUCUGAUAUGGUUUUAUUUCAGUUCUUAAGGAAAAUAGUUAAGAGUUAGCAUUGUGCAUUCAGCCUGGAUUUCAGACAGAUACAAGAAUUAUGGUGAUACUGUAUUUACCAAUAUCUGUUCUAAUCCUUUGUAGCACAGAGGAAACUAUACUUCCCAGCCUGCUUCUUGGUUUUGACCAGUUAAGUGGGAGUAGUAAGUAGUGUAUGUCACUCCCAGACCAGUCACAGCCUGUUUUCUGUACCAUGGCAUCAUAGAUUUAGUGGAGCCACAAGAUCAAAGUGGCCUUGAUUGCUCAGUGCCACAUGAAGGUCAGUCAGCUGGAUCCACAGUGCACUUAAUAUGAUCAAAAGUGGGCUGGGGAUGUGGCUCAAGUGGUAGCGCACUCGCCUAGCAUGAGUGAGGCACUGGGUUUGAUUCUCGGCACCACAUAAAAACAAAGAUAUUGUGUCCACCUAAAACUAAAACGUAAAUAUUUUUUUUAAAAAUUGAUCAAAAAGUAAGCUGAGUAUGGUGAUACAUGCCUGUAAUCCCAGCUACUCAGGAGGUUAAGGCAGAAAGAUCCAAGUUCAAGUCCAGCCUCAGCAACUUAGCAAGACCUUGUUUCAAAAAACUAAAGAGACCUGGGCUGGGUUUGUGGCUCAAUGGUAGAGUGCUCACCUAGCAGGUGCAGGGCCCUGGGUUCAAUCCUUAGCACCACAUAAAAAUAAAAAAAAUAAUAAGAGGUAUUGUAUCCAACCACAACUAAAAAAUAAAACAACUAAAGAGACCUGAAGAUGUAGCUCAGUAGUAAAGCACACCUGGUAUCAAUCCUCAGUACCAAAAAUAAAAUAAUAAACUUUUCAAUAUGUUAAGCCAGAGAUUUGGGUGCCUUUGUUUUUAACCACAGUAGAUCCUAUCCUAUUCUGAGUAAUAGCAUUAGCAACUGACUUUCAUAAUUUU